rnacentral:tRNA from 1 species
UUCUUACUAGCUUAAUUGGUAAAGCAAAAUACUUCUAAUAUUUUAGAUUAAAGUUCGAGUCUUUGGUAAGAAU